AGCGCACGCACUUUUUGGGUAAGCCAGUCAGUUUUCUAUCACAUUAAUCUUUAGAAUCAAAAUGCAUUAUUUUUUAUUUUGUAAUAAUUUAUUAUUACAGUUAUUUGCUUCGUCUGCCAUCUUUGAUUAAUUUUUCCACUGAGCUCAGCACAGUGCAUUAUGGGAUCACCUACCUGGGCAUUUCUCAAGUCAUAAUCAUGACCAAGGUGGAUGAAGCAUGUCCAGUGGUUAAAGAAGAUCUUGAGAAGAUCUACCCAAGCAAGAAAAUAAAACAGAAGAUGUAGGAGUGUUCUAUCAGUCUGGGAGUUCCUUUAAACUGCAUAUCCCCUGGAAAAAACUACCAUGAGGAACGUACCACUAAGACAAAAAUGGAUAUUCUGAUUUUAGAUGCAUUACUAAAAAUUGUUAACUUUGCCAAUGACUAUGUGGAGGACCAGGUAGACAGUGAAUAAAUGUUCUCCUAUAAUUGGCUUAUUUUUUAGUAUGUGUGAUAUUUUCUAAAAUUAGGAGGAAGUAGGAGCUGGGGUUUCAAACCAAUAUUAUUUAUUUGUAGGAGUUUUAUCAAAUAUGCAUACAAUGAAAUAACUAUACUUUACAAACUUUGCAUUAUAUAGAAAGCUGUAUAAUAGUAUAGUCAGU